CUUCCCCACUCUCCCUCUCUCUUGCCGUCCACCCUUGUGCUCCCUCUCCACCAUUUUUGUCAAGCUUUCAAGCUUGAUUUUCCAAGCUUCCACACACCAAAACUUAUAGCUCCCUUUAUAAAAAAUACUCCCUACACCCUAAGGAAGCUUUAGAUACCCAUUUGAAGAAGAGAAAUUGAAGUUUGGCAAGACACCCAAAAAGGUACUGGAGAUCAGCCGCAGCAGCCGCCGCAGCAGCAGCACCAGUAGUACACUGACAGAGCUUUGAUCAGAUCUGCCAUUGUCCAGAGUCACCUCACCGGUCUGUUGUAUUUUGGUAGGGCCCAUGUAUAGACUAGUAUUUUGGUUCAUUAUGUUUAGUCAUGAUGUAAUUACUAGUUUAUGAUGUAUUUCAUUUUGGACUUGUAAUUAAACUUUGAGAUUGAAAUGAAAACUUGUAAUUUAUUAUC